rnacentral:rRNA from 1 species
AUUGAACGCUGGCGGCAGGCCUAACACAUGCAAGUCGAGCGGAUGAAGGGAGCUUGCUCCUGGAUUCAGCGGCGGACGGGUGAGUAAUGCCUAGGAAUCUGCCUGGUAGUGGGGGAUAACGUCCGGAAACGGGCGCUAAUACCGCAUACGUCCUGAGGGAGAAAGUGGGGGAUCUUCGGACCUCACGCUAUCAGAUGAGCCUAGGUCGGAUUAGCUAGUUGGUGGGGUAAAGGCCUACCAAGGCGACGAUCCGUAACUGGUCUGAGAGGAUGAUCAGUCACACUGGAACUGAGACACGGUCCAGACUCCUACGGGAGGCAGCAGUGGGGAAUAUUGGACAAUGGGCGAAAGCCUGAUCCAGCCAUGCCGCGUGCGUGAAGAAGGUCUUCGGAUUGUAAAGCACUUUAAGUUGGGAGGAAGGGCAGUAAGUUAAUACCUUGCUGUUUUGACGUUACCAAAAGAAUAAGCACCGGCUAACUUCGUG